rnacentral:pre_miRNA from 1 species
GUGGGUACGGCCCAGUGGGGGGGAGAGGGACACUCUGGGCCUAUGAGCCCAGGGUGCAGUCAGACUGACAGAGCCCCUGUGCCGCCCCCAG